UACGGGGGGGGGCAAGCGUUGUUCGGAAUUACUGGGCGUAAAGGGCUCGUAGGCGGCCAACUAAGUCGGAUGUGAAAUCCCCAGGCUUAACCUGGGAACUGCAUCCGAUACUGGAUGGCUUGAAUCCGGGAGAGGGAUGCGGAAUUCCAGGUGUAGCGGUGAAAUGCGUAGAUAUCUGGAGGAACACCGGUGGCGAAGGCGGCAUCCUGGACCGGCAUUGACGCUGAGGAGCGAAAGCCAGGGGAGCAAACGGGAUUAGAA
rnacentral:rRNA from 1 species